rnacentral:rRNA from 1 species
CGGGUGAGUAACGCGUGAGGAACCUGCCUCAAAGAGGGGGACAACAGUUGGAAACGACUGCUAAUACCGCAUAAGCCCACGGCUCGGCAUCGAGCAGAGGGAAAAGGAGCAAUCCGCUUUGAGAUGGCCUCGCGUCCGAUUAGCUAGUUGGUGAGGUAACGGCCCACCAAGGCGACGAUCGGUAGCCGGACUGGGAGGAUGAACGGCCACACUGGAACUGAGACACGGUCCAG